CUAAUAAAACUACAGUUGAUGACGAUUCCAGCUGCUGAGUAGCAUGAAAUAUAAAUAAGUUCUUGACAUUUUAACUUCCUAAUUCAGGUUACCUUGAAGGAUAAUAAAUGUCUGGUUUAGUUAUUUAGUGCUACUAAUAUUGAAUUUAUAUGACAUGCUAAUAAUGUUUCCCAAAAUAAGUUAUACAUAGUUAUUGGUAGCACCCUAUAUUGUUGUAGUGAUGCAGAGAAGAAUUUGGCAAGGCAAUGUGUCUUAAAAUAGCAGCUGUCGCAGCCGCAAUCACAGCCAAAAUAGCAGUUGUUCCCCACACUAUAGUGGCGUACAGUGAGGCAUUUUGAAAACUUGUUUUUUGCCUUGAGUCAUUUUGUGGGCGUAGUUGACAUUUCCUUCCCCCAUAAUCAGUCAUUUUGUUGACAUUUUGAGGGUUUUUUUCAUAGCAUGCAUUGUGUAUAAUCUCCAACAUACUCCCCCUUUCCUCCCUUUGCUGAGUAUUAAUGAUAUAAGGAGAAGGGAAAGUUAGUUAAGAUAGUUAGUUUGUUAGUGAGUUAGUUAGUUAGAGGGGUUUAUUAGAUAUAAAUAGGGGAAGAAGGAUAGGAGAGAGGAGUUUUGUUGUCAUUUUAAAUUGAGCAUUAGCUCUUUGUGAAAGAAGAAUCCUUUGUGAAGGAGAAACCCUUGGAGGUAUUUUCUGUUCUUUUCUUGCUAGUCAUUAAAGUUCUUUCUUUUCUUUCUCAUUUCAAUUCUUGGUUCCUAACAAAUUGGUCUGACCUGCCAGAUUCGUGUUUGUGAUGGAAAACCGAGUGGGAGCAUUGGAGAAAUUGGCCAGCGAUCAAGGGGAGAACUGACAGAGCUGCAACGUGACAUUGGCCUCAUCAAGGACAAUAUGCCAGACAUGAAACAGAUCAAAGAAUUGAUCUUGGAGUGCAUGCUGAGCAAGAAAAAGGAAACCUGCAUCGAAAAAAGGAAGAGUUCCACAAUGUUCUUGAAAGAGAGGACCAACACUUCAGAGCUGAAACAUAUGCUGUGCAAGAUAUUGACCGAAGAGUUUGAUCCUCAUUCAACUCAGCAAGACUGAAAUAGCAUGGAGGGAAGUGGGUCAGAAUGCAGUGAAGCAGAGGCUAGUUCUUGGACAAGAAAGCUGGAACUACCCACCUUUGAUGGAAUCAUAGAAGGGGAAACUGAUUCAAAGGGUAACAGUUUUGAGUGUGAUGAUGACCCAUUGCAAUUCUUGAAAUUAGAAAACACAAGUAAAGAAGGUUCAGUAAUCAAGAAUCAUGCACCUUGUUGUGGAGAAGAAACCAAAAAUGAAGCAAAAUUAGCAAGAGAAACAGCAAAUGGAAAAGUUAUGAUGGAGGAAGAAGUUGAUCCUUUGAUCAAGAAGGAGAAACACAAAGAAAACAGAGUGAAGAAUGUGGACUGUGAAGACCAUUUUCUUGAUAACCCAAUACCAAAGUUGAUCAAGAAGGAAGUUGAAACUGGUGAUGCAGCCAAGCCUCAUUCUUUUCAAGAUUCAGAUUUCCAUAAAAAGAUUGUGAUGAUGAAACAUAAAUCAUUGUUGGACCCAAAUUCAAUCAUGAAGGUGGUUGGAACAUCAAUGGUGCUGGAAUCUUUUAAUGUCAACUUGUUGGCUGAGCCUUUGGCAUUAAACUUUGUUGUGCCUAUGGAUGACAGAUCGACAAUGGAGCCAAGGCCAAAGGAAUGUACAGAGGCAGUCAUGAUGGUUCAAGUUAUACGGAGUCCACCCUCAUCCCCUCCACCACCGAAGCUGCCGGACCUGAGUUUGUAUGAAGUGGCCAGUGGGUUUACAAAAGUGUUGCAAAUAGCGGCUAUCGUGGCACUAUCACGCUAUAGCAUAGUGGGUUUUAAGGAAAAUGCAAUCGCGAUGGUGUCGCAUUGCGGACUCCACGAAAAUCGCAAUCGUGGGCGCCUUACGCAUCAUGGAAUCUCAUUGUGCCGUGGCUGUUGCAUCGUCGGUUUCCGAAAAGGUUGAAUCUGGAGAGAAAUUGCAUUAACAGCAUUUAGGGUUCAUUGGUUCAUCAUUCUGAAAGAAAGGAAACCAGGUCAGGUGCAGACUGCAGAUUCGGGUCGUGUCUGCACGGCAAUUCAGAGUUGUUUUGGGCUUGUGGACAAGGUUUUUGGCUUUGUUAAAACUCACGUGCAGCAGUCACGUGGGUUUUUAAAAUUUUACUCUAUUGGUUUUUAAAACAUCAGAGUCAAAUUUUUUGUUUUUACUCUAUUCUUUUUACUUUUAACUUAUGGACUUGGGUUUUCUUCUAAUAGGCCCAACAGUAGCAUUUUGACUUCUACUUCAUGCAACUUUUCAGUUUUCCAGAUCAUUCUAGAACCUGUUGGCAUUUCCACUUCUACUUCAUGCAACUUUUCAGUUUUCAGGAUCAUUCUAUAGUCACCAUGUAAACCCUUUCCUUCUUUGAUUCUUAGUCACAACGUAAACCCUUCAACCCUUCCCUCCUUUGAUUCUUAGUCACAAGCUUAUUUUGAUUUUGUGCCUCACUAGGACUUGUUUAGCUAAUUAGCUUUUAGCUGUUUUUAGCUUUUUUUGAUUAUAUUGGGGAAGGGGCAGAGGAGAAUGAACAUAUUUUGUCUUGAACAAUUUAACUUUUGAGAUAAUAUUAUGUUAAUGUUUGUCCAUCUUAUUUUUAUUUGCAUAUAGCAUGCUUUUUUAUACAUAUUUAAUUGUUAUAUAUAUUCUAUUUCAACCGCUAUGCGGCUUCCGCUAUUUGGUCACGACGCUAUCCGCUAUAUUCUAUAGUGGAUUUUCAGCUUUUUGCAAUUUUCCAUGAUCCGCUAUUGACAACACUGGUUUACAGUUGAUUCCCCAUAGAGGGACACCAAAGAGGCACAUCUUGUUAGAGUAAAUGAUUCCGUUCUGAAGGAUGAGAAAGAGGAAGGGGAAUUUUUGGAAUUCUACAAUGUGUGACCAAUUUUUUACAUAGUGGAUCAGGCCCAAAUUGGCUGUCAAAAUGGGAUUCAUAAAAGUGGAGCAGAAACUGGGCAGCUAGAUUUAUACUACUAAAUUUGGAGCCCUGUGUAGCUGAUGACAUUAUAAGAGCAGAGAUGGAAAGAGAUUGCAGCACCACGCAUGGAAGUCCAGAUUAUUCAGAAUUUGCUUCCAUCACAACCUCCACUAGAGCCACAGAACACAACCCCGCAUGCAGGGGCAGUGGGUCAUUCCUAGUUAAGCUACAACUACAGUGGGUGCAGUUGUCUUCCAGCAAUCAUAGAAAACUUGAGGAAGUUUCAGUGUGCAAUUCCAGUUUUCAAAUUCCUACCUUGAGGACAAGGUUGACUUUUAGGAGGGUUGUAUUGUUAGGAUAUAAGGAGAAGGGAAAGUUAGUUAAAAUAGUUAGUCUGUUAAUGAGUUAGUUAGUUAGUUAGAGGGGUUUAUUAGAUAUAAGUAGGGG
rnacentral:lncRNA from 1 species